CACGUAGGGUGCGAGCGUUGUCCGGAAUUAUUGGGCGUAAAGAGCUCGUAGGCGGUGUGUCGCGUCGGCCGUGAAAACCUGCAGCUUAACUGUGGGCUUGCGGUCGAUACGGGCAUCACUGGAGUUCGGCAGGGGAGACUGGAAUUCCUGGUGUAGCGGUGAAAUGCGCAGAUAUCAGGAGGAACACCGGUGGGCGAAGGCGGGUCUCUGGGCCGAUACUGACGC
rnacentral:rRNA from 1 species